GGUUAGUAACGCGUGGGAAUAUACCCUCCUCUACGGAAUAGCCUCGGGAAACUGAGAGUAAUACCGUAUACGCCCUUCGGGGGAAAGAUUUAUCGGAGGAGGAUUAGCCCGCGUAAGAUUAGAUAGUUGGUGGGGUAAUGGCCUACCAAGUCUACGAUCUUUAGCUGGUUUGAGAGGAUGAUCAGCAACACUGGGACUGAGACACGGCCCAGACUCCUACGGGAGGCAGCAGUGGGGAAUCUUAGACAAUGGGCGAAAGCCUGAUCUAGCCAUGCCGCGUGAGUGACGAAGGCCUUAGGGUCGUAAAGCUCUUUCGCCAGAGAUGAUAAUGACAGUAUCUGGUAAAGAAACCCCGGCUAACUCCGUGCCAGCAGCCGCGGUAAUACGGAGGGGGUUAGCGUUGUUCGGAAUUACUGGGCGUAAAGCGUACGUAGGCGGAUUAGUCAGUCAGAGGUGAAAUCCCAGGGCUCAACCCUGGAACUGCCUUUGAUACUGCUAGUCUUGAGUUCGAGAGAGGUGAGUGGAAUUCCGAGUGUAGAGGUGAAAUUCGUAGAUAUUCGGAGGAACACCAGUGGCGAAGGCGGCUCACUGGCUCGAUACUGACGCUGAGGUACGAAAGUGUGGGGAGCAAACAGGAUUAGAUACCCUGGUAGUCCACACCGUAAACGAUGAAUGCCAGACGUCGGGGGGCUUGCCCUUCGGUGUCACACCUAACGGAUUAAGCAUUCCCGCCUGGGGAGUACGGUCGCAAGAUUAAAACUCAAAGGAAUUG
rnacentral:rRNA from 1 species